AGUGGAUGGGGAGCAACCUAGUUGUGCGUGUGUAAAGGUAGUGCCAAGAAAAGCGAUGAUCAUGUUGAAAAUCAAUUCCCGGUACCCGAAACCGACACAGGUGGGCAAGUAGAGAAUACUAAGGGGCGCGAGGUAACUCUCUCCAAGGAACUCGGCAAAAUGACCCCGUAACUUAGGGAGAAGGGGUGCCACCGAGAGGUGGUCGCAGUGAAGAGGCCCAGGCGACUGUUUAGCAAAAACAUACGUCUCUGCAAACUCGAAAGAGGAGGUAUAGGGGCUGACGCCUGCCCAGUGCCGGAAGGUUAAAGAAGUUGGUCAGUUUUAGGAUGAAGCUAGCGACUGAAGCCCCGGUGAACGGCGGCCGUAACUAUAACGGUCCUAAGGUAGCGAAAUUCCUUGUCGGGUAAGUUCCGACCCGCACGAAAGGCGUAACGAUCUGGGCGCUGUCUCGGAGAGAGGCUCGGCGAAAUAGGAUUGUCUGUGAAGAUACGGACUACCUGCAUUUGGACAGAAAGACCCUAUGAAGCUUUACUAUAGCUUGGAAUUGUGUUCGGGCUUCCUGUGCGCAGGAUAGGUGGGAGGCGUAGAAGGUAUUCUUGUGGGGAUACUGGAGCCAACGGUGAGAUACCACUCUCAGGAGGCUAGAAUUCUAACUUAAUUAAGGACAGUUUCAGGUGGGUAGUUUGACUGGGGCGGUCGCCUCCAAAAAGGUAACGGAGGCGUACAAAGGUUCCCUCAGACUGGUUGGAAAUCAGUCGAAGAGUGCAAAGGCAGAAGGGAGCUUGACUGCGAGAAGUACAGUUCGAGCAGGGUGGAAACACGGUCUUAGUGAUCCGACGGUGCUGUGUGGAAGGGCCGUCGCUCAACGGAUAAAAGUUACUCUAGGAUAACAGGCUGAUCUCCCCCAAGAGUUCACAUCGACGGGGAGGUUUGGCACCUCGAUGUCGGCUCAUCGCAACCUGGGGCGGAAGUACGUCCCAAGGGUUGGGCUGUUCGCCCAUUAAAGCGGUACGUGAGCUGGGUUCAGAACGUCGUGAGACAGUUUUGUCCAUAUCCGAUGUAGGCGUGAGAAUAUUGAGAGGAGCCUUCCUUAGUACGAGAGGACCGGGAAGGACGCACCGCUGGUGUACCUGUUAUGAUGCCAAUUGUAAACGCAGGGUAGCCAAGUGCGGAGAGGAUAACCGCUGAAAGCAUCUAAGUGGGAAGCCCACCUCAAGAUGAGUAUUCUGGUGUAAGGUCACGGGAAGACGACCCGUAAAUAGGCACGAGGUGGAAGUGCAGAGAUGUAUGAAGCCGAAGUGUACUAAUAGACCGUCGGCUUGACC
rnacentral:rRNA from 1 species